rfam:Loxodonta africana unplaced genomic scaffold scaffold_102, whole genome shotgun sequence.
GGGGAAUUAGCUCAGAUGGUAGAGCGCACGCUUUGCAUGUGAGAGGUAGCAGGGUCGAUGCCCGCAUUCCCCA